AUUAUUUCGCAGAGGCGAUAUCAUAGCCUAUGAAGUCCAUCUGAGGCGUGAUUAUUGCAAAAAAAAAAAUAUAUAACAUAUUUCUAUUUUUUAAAAGAUGACAAUAUUGAGCAGCAUCAUCUUAUG